UUCAGACCACCUUCCUUGGGGCCUAACCCUGUGGUCAAGAGACCCUCGAGCUCAAGCCGAAGAAUUGAAAUUAGCAGACGCUGUCGCACGGGCACGGAAAAGAUGUCUGCCCCAGUGGAGGCCGUGUCACACGCGCUCCCUACGCGGCAGCCUCGCAGCACGCGAUGGCGCCCGCCACAACGUGGAUCCCUUCCUGUGAGGAACAAGCCGGGCCUCUGCCAGCUCUCGCUUGAAGAGCCGUUCUCCACAGGCUGCAGCUACCGAGACCAUCCUGCAAUUCCUGGUUCUUUUCAUUGCUUCCCCUCGCCUGUAAUUCAGUUAAUUAUUUAUUAAUUUAGUUCUGCCUUCUGGUUAGUAAAACAUGAGGUUUCUUCAUCUACAUCACUAACUACUUGGAAGGAUUAUUUGCAACCUGGUUAGUGUUCACUUCACGUUUUCUGGUUUUUUUAAAUAGAAAAACUCCCUGUGACAUUGAAACUGGGUAAGGGAAGGGCAGGUUGGUUGCGUGCGAUGCUCACCCGUCUCCAAGCGCAAGCAAACACUGGGUGCGUCAGCCACACAGCUGGUCCGGCAGGACCUCGAGCAGCCGGGAAGUCCAAUUCGGGGACAUGGACAGGGCCAGCCACGAAACCCGCGCUUAACACCAUCCCGACGAUAUAUUUUUACUCAUGGAUAUGAAGGACAGUGAGGAACAGCCGUGUCCCUGAAGCUGCUUUCAUAAGAGGGUUUUCAAAACUAAACAAAAAUCAAACUCAAGGACAAAACAUGUGUUUGAUAAAUACUGCUCUCUGUUACUCCAACCUCAGGGAUAAACCUGGAGAGGAGCCACCCUGCCUGUGAUGAGUCAGGUUUUCUACACCUCUAAUCAUCCUUGCUACAAUCACCCAGCUCCUCUCCAGUUGCUACACGCUCUUCUUGAAAUGAGGACCCGAAGCAGACACGCUCCUGCUGCUUACCAACACUGAGCAGAGCAGAGCAUUUCUACACAUCACGACUCCCAGAAGGACACCAUGUGCGGUAAAGUGGGAAUUUGCAUUACGCGUACCCGGCAAAGCCUGAGCUGCCAUAGUUAUAGCGCUAUGAGAAGCUGCAGAGCUGCCAUCGCAUCACACGACGUGAGUCAUUACAUGUGAGCACAAAUCAUCCGAACUGGCACACAUGGCCCUGUCCCCAGGCCGGACCGUGUGACGUGAAAUUUAAGCUGGAAACUUCCUCUCUCACCCCGCGCUUGGCAGCGCUGCAGCCCCCCCGCAACCCUGGCCCCAGCCCUGGAGCCGGAGGGAGGCUGCAGCUCCCGCUGUCACCCAGCAUGCCGGCACAGCAGGGCGGGUGGCCCA